CAAUGGUGGGGGCUGAGUUCACGGCGGGGCGCUGGCCGGUAGUCGCCGCUCCCGCUGCCCCCGAGCGGGGCUGACAGCCGCCUGCGGAGCCUUGGGCAGUGGAGCCGGGAUCCCGAGGCAACGGCCCCCGGAUGCGCUCCGAUUUCUGCAGCUGUCAGAGGCCGGGUCCGCCGGCAGCCGAUGGGGGAGGGGGUGAUAAAUCACCCUGUUCCCCAGGAAUGGCCGUUCCUGCGGCACCUCAUUAGUGCCCCCAUCCCUUCGCUGGCGCGGCUGCCUCCCUGCGCAGCGGUUCUGCCUGCCCCCGUGGGGGCCUGCUGCCAGGGGUGGCGUCGCAGCAGCGAGGAUCUAGUUCAAAGAGCAACUGACCCGUUUUAAAACUAACAAGACUGGCUUGAGCCCCCACCCAGAAUUGUUGGGAUCACACAGUACUUGCCACCUUCCCCAAAGCACUGAGGUUGUGUAGAAAACAAAUCUUUAUUAAAAGAAAAAGAAAAGUGUAUUGGUGUAAAUAAGUAAAAUAUGCACUGGAGGUAACUUUGGCAGUAGUCUGUGUAACUCAGUUCCACACCCAAGGCUGCGAAUGUUCCCUUUACCACCCAUUGUUUCCCUGUCCCCAUCUACUAAACUAUACUCAUCAUUUGGCGUCAGUGAGUAGCAUUAUCCCAUCACGCGAACAUGCACUGUGGCAUGGUACCCUUCCAGUGCUUUCGGAAAUGCUUCCUUGUCCCAUCCUGAGGCUCCACUAAUUAAAUCAUCUUUUAUCUUUAUUUAGGACAAAACUAUCCAGCUUUGCUGACAAUAAAACCACCCCAACAAGAGGCAUAGAGCAUUUUGUGGCAAACUUAGAUUGACAAAGUAUCAACACAGACACUCUUCUUGGUUAUGCUGUUGUAAAUGGCUCCCACUGCGUCCCACAAUGCCCAGCCUGACUGCUCUGGUCAGCAGUUUGAACUGUGCUGCCCUGCACCCAGAUAGACAGGCAUCUGCCCCUCCCUCUUUAAAGGACUGGGAAUUUUUGAAAUUCCACUUUGUUUGCUCAGUGUGGACAGCUAAUGUUGCAUCUUUCCAGCUGACCAUGGCAGUUCCAUGCUGCAAAAGCUCUCCCUCCUGGAGCACACCAGAGUUGUUCAAUCUGCUGCGUCUGUAGGGAGAGGAGACUGUGCAGUCCCAGCUCCACUCAAAGGGUAGGAACUUUGAUACCUAUAGUCAAAGUUCUUGUGGCAUGAUGGAUAAGGGCUACAAAUAGGAUAUGCAUCAGUGCUGUGCGAUGAUCAAGGAGCUAAGGCAGGUGUACCAGAAGGCAGAGGAGUUAAACCAUUGUUCUGGUGCUGUGCCAAAGACCUGCCAUUUCUGUUAGGACCUGGACACCAUCCUCGGUGGUGACCCUACCCUAUCUCCAUUGGCAAGAGCCCCAUAAAUACUUCAGCAGGGCUGGAGAUAGUGGCCAGCGGACUCAACCUCAAAGACGAAGUGGUGGAAGAAGAAGUAGGUUGAAGGAUGAGAUGGGACAGACAACUGGUUCAUCUGGUACUGUGAUGAGCCAGGAUUUCUUCUCAAUGGUAGAGGGUUUGAGCCAGUCCUAGCGCUCUGUCUGUGACGCGCAUGAUGCAGGAAAGGGGACCUCUGAUGUGAGAACCCCCUACACACCAGCAGAGCACCUCCACCAGCUAAGGAAGCUACUGAGGAGGAGCAAGGAGGACAUGUUUUGGGAGGUGCUCCAAUCCUCUGUUGCCACAGAGCAAGAACAAAGGGCAUGGAGAGAGUCAGCUAAUGAAGAUUUAAAAAUAGACAGGCAGGAGAGGAAGGAGAGCCAGGAGUAAAUUUUAGUGGUCCAGGAGCAGAUGAUAAAAGUGAUGGAGGAGCAAACAGAGAUGCUGCAGUCCCUGAUCACAGCUUCCAAAUGUUAGCUGGAGUUACACACAGCUAUGAGAGCCUCCAUCAGGAGAGUGCCCUUCAGUGUCAUAUCCCUUUCAACCAAGCAUUUUCUUUGUGUUUAUUGCUAUUUAAUAAAAAAAUACUCUGUGAAAGAUAAUCAAUCUUUAUCUCCUACACACGGGUGGUUGCUGCUGGAAUUAAUACACAGUGGCAAUUGGCAGAUUUGCAGACUACUGUAGUAAGAUGAGGCCCUGAGACAUAAACCCUUGGUAUCAGAGGCCUGGUAUGAGGCAUGAGGCCUGAACUGAAGGAAUUGUCAAGACGUUGCUAAAGCAAAGUUAGGCUGUGAGCCAGAAGCAGGCACUGCUCACAGAAAUUGGCAAGAGCAUAUACACAUGUAAGCACUAAUAAGAUUAACGUAUGCCAGGACAGUACCCAGCCUAAAAACAGUAUAAAAGGACAAUAUGAUGAAUAGACAAUAUGAAAGGACAAUACGAUGAAUAGACUGUAUGAUGGAUAGACUUAUUUGUUCGAACCGAUCUGCACUAGGAGAAAGGCAACACCCUAAUGCAUAGAGGGGCUGUCCCUCAGUGCGUUCAAUGACCUGUUUGUGUCUGUGUAUAAGAAUGCAGCCCUGCGUGGAUGUCUUUGUCUGGCCUAGGGGGCAGUGGAGAGUCCUGCCACUAACUGAGCCAGUCCAUUGUCAGGGUGCACAUAUUCAUAGUAUGUCCUGUAGAGUCUGCGGGAAACUAUUACUGUGCUUCGUUUGACAAUAAACCUGGCCGGGUGCCUUUGUACCUUAUUAGAAUCUGUGGUCACUGGGUGGUUCGCUCGAGAUCUGCUAUGGCAGCUAUCUGCGCAGAGCUGGGACAACACACAAGGAGAACACACACGCAUGCAUCUGACUGUUAUCAACACUGAACAGAGUAGAGCACCACGUCGGUAGCAUCUAAUGAUAUUGGUGACCCUGACGGCUGUUCUGGUGAGUAAGCAAGCUGUCCACUGUAGGAAUCGCGAUCUAACAUGACAGGCAACCAUGAGCUAGGGAACCCACUUAACCCCUCCCUGCAAAUCUCCAUAGAGUUUAAAAAAUAUAAUGGGGAAGAAACAUAUAAUGUAAUUUGUGAGGCUAGGGAAGAGACUGUAGUCUUAAAAUGUAAAAUAUUGCAAAUGAUAACCAUGACUGUUAAAUGGUUAAUACAGCAUGCCACAAAAUUGGCAGAGCACGUAACGGUAAGAAAGAAAGAGUUAAAAGAGUCAAAAGAAGCUACAAAGCCCUGGAAUGCCUUCCCCCGCCCGCCCUUGCAGGGUGGCAAGCAGCCCAGAGAUAACAGUCAUAGAAACAGAAUAAAACAUUGGAAACAGCUGCAAGGAACCUACAAAAACUGCAUGUGUUGUCUUCUUUUAUAAAUAUCUGUGGUCAACAGCAGGCUUCAGGUAGCUACCCUGGGGGACAGAAGUGGAAAAAGGUGGCCCUAGUAAAAUUAAAAGAUGAAGCGGGGUCCACUGCAGUGCAGCUACUACCUUAUGAUAAAAGCCAGGUUCUGGUACAACCUAAACCAGGACCUAGACAGGUGCCUGUCAGAAUGGGACAAGUAAGUGCACAGAUGGAAAAAGUAGCACACAAUACUUUCACUGAAUUGGUAAGUCAGAUGAAGCAAAAAAUGGAACAGUUCACAGUGCACAUUAGGAGACAGGAGCUGCGACUCGAUCGCAGGGGAGUGAAUAAAAAAGAAUUUCAAAACCAAAAACCAAAAUUAACCAGUUUAACACCUAGAAUUGAUGCAUUAACACAUGGAGUUGCCCAAAAACAGUUAACUGCAGCACAAAAGGGCACUCCUGCCAUCCAUUUGGCAUGCACACAAAAGCAACAGACACUGGGGGAACAAAUUCAGGUUUUACAAGAGCAGGUAACUACCCACACUCUCCUCUCAAAGCCAGGAUAAAAACCAGGGGCACAGUUCCCAAAUGUGCAGGUUCCCAGCUGCUUUGACCCACAGAACCACACUCCGCGCUCAUAUCUAAAAAUAUAACAACCUUUCUCAAAUAUUUGUACAUACCGGUUAAGUUUUUUCCUUCAUAUGCUUCCUCAGUUUGCUAAACUCGCUGCUGCCGCCCAUACUUUCAAAUACGUUGAUAGAGUUAAUCUCUCUUGGCUCAGGUCUCACUAUCUUCCUAGGUUGCUCUUCACCCCACCCUCAUUUCCCCUGCCUCUCCUCACUUCGGGUCUCUCUCUUUUGUUUUAAAAAUUAAAAGUUAUAGUUUUUACAGAAACCUCCAAAAGAUAAAGCAAUUGAAAACAGAACAAAACGAGAAACAAAAAGAAAACAAGGUUUCCACGUUUUCAACAGAUUUCCACCUUUGGCUCCCAGACAUAACAAAGCAUCAUGAAAGUUUAAUUCCCUCAAAGUUUUGCAUGGAACUGUAUUUAAAAUGUAUUUUGGUUUAAUUUUAUAGUUAGUUUAAUUUUAUACACUUUUCUUAUGUUAUGUUAAUGAAAAGCAGUGGUUGUUAAAGUUUGUGCUUCUUAACAGUUAACAAGAGUGAACUUGGUAUCACAAGCAAAGUACACCUCUACCUUGAUAUAAUGCUGUCCUCAGGAGCCAAAAAAUGUUACCGUGUUAUAGAUGAAACUGCGUUAUAUCGAACUUGAUUUGAUCUGCUGGAGCGUACAGCCCUGUCCACCCCCCAGAAUGCUGCUUUGCCGCGUUAUAUCCGAAUUUGUGUUAUAACAGGUGGCAUUAUAUCGGGGUAGAAGUGUAACUCUAAAAAGCUUGUUAAAAUUAUGUUACUAAUCCUUUUGCUGAAACAAAGUGUUCAGCAAAGGAAAGAAAUACACCUUCUCAUGGAAGAUUGUGUGCAUCUAUUUUAGCCGUUAUGCAUUACAUUUAGUAUAAAAUAUUAGUAAUGCACCUCGAGUGAAAAUGAAUGUCUGUACUACAAUUGCAAACGUAUAGCUUGUGUAUAAAAGACUUGGUCCCUAUUACAUUGUAAACACUAAAUUAAUCUGUGUAUUACAUUUGGGCUACUAGAAACAAGAGAAAUGUAAAAAUGAACAAACAAAAACUUUAUUAUAUUAACUAACUUAAGAACAAAGACACCAGAAGAUAUCACACCACAAAGACACCAGAGAUAUCUGUAUACAGUUAAGAAACCCCCAUGCAUCAAGAAAAGAAAAAUGAAGUGCUUUAUAAAUAAGAGACUGGUCAAAUACACCUCUAUCUACCAUAUAUGGACAAUUAAUUUAACAAUCAGCUAAAAACCCUUAGCUGGACCAGGAUAAACUGCCAUUUAAUUUCAACUUGUUUACUGUGUAAAAACAACUGUAUUAUUGCUGCACUACUGUAUUAUCAUUGUACUAUUGCUGUAAUGUACUAUUGCUGUACAACAUUUACAAUGUGCAUAACCUUGCUAAACUGUUUAACCAACACACAGGUAAAAAUCAACAAAUGAAUGGCAGCAAACAACAUGAAGGCAAGGAAAAAACAAAUUGGUAAAGAAAUUAAGUUACACAGUAACUACAAUUGGGUAAACAAAUUCCGUGUUAGUACCCGUCAUAAUUUGGAUUAUUGACACUGCAUCCUAACUAAGACACAUGUUAUUCAAAACAAUCUGGCUCUAUGUCUGGAUACCAAUACUACACAGCAAUAUUUGAUAAAUUGGUUACUGUCUGUCAUAAUAUAAUUCCCAAUUCUGAACCUUAGCGUCCAAAAUAUGGGUACUAGCAUGAAUUCCCCUAAGCUUAAUUACCAGCUUAGAUCCUGUAGUGCUGCCACCAAUCAGGACUUAGAGUGCCUGAUAA